UACAGAGGUCUCGAGCGUUGUUCGGAUUCAUUGGGCGUAAAGGGUGCGUAGGUGGCGCUGUAAGUCGGGUGUGAAAUCCUGAGGCUUAACCUCGGAACUGCAUUCGAUACUGCCGUGCUUGAGGACUGGAGAGGAGACUGGAAUUCAUGGUGUAGCAGUGAAAUGCGUAGAGAUCAUGAGGAACACCAGUGGCGAAGGCGGGUCUCUGGACAGUUCCUGACACUGAGGCACGAAGGCCAGGGGAGCAAACGGG
rnacentral:rRNA from 1 species